rnacentral:lncRNA from 1 species
GUGGCUUCUAGGUGGAGUCUAAGGUCCCUGGCUGGAUUGAGCGGGUCCUUGGUAUUAAGCAAGAGGAGGUGCAGGCCCAGCUUCAUGACCUGGAACACAGAAUCGUGAGUCAUGUGGCCCAAGAGUGGCCCAAGUCUGUGAGCAAAGCUGCUGCCAUCUUAAGACUGAGCCUUCUGAAGGAAGGAAUGACCACCGGCGUGACGAAGGAGGUGAGGCCUGCCCCACUGGCUGUCCUCCUGGCUGGGGUCACUGGUUUGCCCUCAGAAGAGCCUGCCAGGAGGGAGGGGAAAACCCUGGCUGAGCAGGUAGCAUGCUUGCCCGCCCCCCACAUGGGCUGGGCUAGCCCUGCAGGUGACCUGGCCCCUGAGUAGUGCAUGCCUGUCUUUUAGGAAGUGAACCAGAUCAUAAAGCAGGCCCUGAAAGAACACAGUGAAGAUCGAAUCGGGCUUGUGGAUUAUGCCCUGGAGUCCUCAGGUAGGUGGCCUGCAGAAAGCCAGAGGGCUUGGGACAAAAGGGAUUGGCAAAUCAGGAUGGACCUUAGGAGACAGGAGGAACUGACAAAUCAAGAUGCCCCCUAUGGGCCGUGGCAGUUAAGAGGGGUGAUUCCCAGGCAGCACCCCCUCACCUUGAGGGCUGCCUUAAGCCAUCUCUGUGUCCUCCCAACUCUCAGGACCCCCCCUCCCCACACACUUCUCUCCAUGUUGCUCUUUCAGGAGCCAGCAUUGUCAGUAGCGGCUCGUCAGAGACAUACGGCAUCAGGACGGAGUGGUCUGCCCAUUUCACUCUGUUGGGCAUCCCAUUGUGGCGCUAUUUCCAGUCGCCAAGAGUCAUCCUCCAGCCAGAUGUCUACCCUGGCAACUGCUGGGCAUUCCGGGGCCCGCGGGGCUUUGUCGUGGUGCGCUUGUCUGCUCGGAUCCAGCUCACUGCCAUCACUUUGGAGCACGUGCCCAAAGCCCUGUCCCCAAACAGUGACAUCCCCAGUGCCCCAAAGGACUUUGUCAUCUUGGGUCUCAAUGAAGAUUCCCAGAUGGAGGGGGUUGCCCUGGGGCAGUUCACCUAUGAGAAUGCUGGGGAGGCCAUUCAGACCUUCCCCUUUCAGGUAUGGAGGGUUGAUCCCACAGCAGGGAUGCAGGCGUGUUGGUGAUCUCCAGGGCUGGAUCACCAGCCACUGGGACGCGGUGGCUUGGCAAGUGGCUGCAGUGGAAG